rnacentral:rRNA from 1 species
AACGAACGCUGGCGGCAGGCUUAACACAUGCAAGUCGAACGCCCCGCAAGGGGAGUGGCAGACGGGUGAGUAACGCGUGGGAACAUGCCCAAAGGUACGGAAUAUUCUCGGGAAACUGGGAGCAAUACCGUAUGUGCCCGAAAGGGGAAAGAUUUAUCGCCUUUGGAUUGGCCCGCGUUGGAUUAGCUAGUUGGUGGGGUAAAAGCCUACCAAGGCGACGAUCCAUAGCUGGUCUGAGAGGACGACCAGCCACACUGGGACUGAGACACGGCCCAGACUCCUACGGGAGGCAGCAGUGGGGAAUCUUGGACAAUGGGCGCAAGCCUGAUCCAGCCAUGCCGCGUGGAUGAUGAAGGCCCUAGGGUUGUAAAAUCCUUUCGUUGGGGACGAUAAUGACGGUACCCAAAGAAGAAGCUCCGGCUAACUUCGUGCCAGCCGCCGCAGUAAUAC